rnacentral:rRNA from 1 species
AGUGAACGCUGGCGGUAGGCCUAACACAUGCAAGUCGAACGGCAGCACAGUAAGAGCUUGCUCUUACGGGUGGCGAGUGGCGGACGGGUGAGGAAUACAUCGGAAUCUACUUUUUCGUGGGGGAUAACGUAGGGAAACUUACGCUAAUACCGCAUACGACCUACGGGUGAAAGCAGGGGAUCUUCGGACCUUGCGCGAUUGAAUGAGACGAUGUCGGAUUAGCUAGUUGGCGGGGUAAAGGCCCACCAAGGCGACGAUCCGUAGCUGAUCUGAGAGGAUGAUCAGCCACACUGGAACUGAGACACGGUCCAGACUCCUACGGGAGGCAGCAGUGGGGAAUAUUGGACAAUGGGCGCAAGCCUGAUCCAGCCAUACCGCGUGGGUGAAGAAGGCCUUCGGGUUGUAAAGCCCUUUUGUUGGGAAAGAAAAGCAGCAGGUUAAUACCCCGCUGUUCUGACGGUACCCAAAGAAUAAGCACCGGCUAACUUCGUG